rnacentral:rRNA from 1 species
GACGAACGCUGGCGGCGUGCCUAAUACAUGCAAGUAGAACGCUGAAGGAGGAGCUUGCUCUUCUGGAUGAGUUGCGAACGGGUGGGUAACGCGUAGGUAACCUGCCUGGUAGCGGGGGAUAACUAUUGGAAACGAUAGCUAAUACCGCAUAACAUUGACUAUUGCAUGAUAGUCAAUUAAAAGGUGCAAAUGCACCACUACCAGAUGGACCUGCGUUGUAUUAGCUAGUUGGUGGGGUAACGGCUCACCAAGGCGACGAUACAUAGCCGACCUGAGAGGGUGAUCGGCCACACUGGGACUGAGACACGGCCCAGACUCCUACGGGAGGCAGCAGUAGGGAAUCUUCGGCAAUGGACGGAAGUCUGACCGAGCAACGCCGCGUGAGUGAAGAAGGUUUUCGGAUCGUAAAGCUCUGUUGUAAGAGAAGAACGAGUGUGAGAGUGGAAAGUUCA